GGGAAGGAAAGAAGGAGAAGUAGAGGAGGAGGAGGAGGAGAGGUAGAGAAGAAGGAAGGGAAAGGGAAGGAAAGAAGGAGAAGUAGAGGAGGAGGAGGAGGAGAGGUAGGAAAGAAGGAGGGGAAAGGGAAGGAAAGAAGGAGAAGUAGAGGAGGAGAAGGAGAGGAAGGAAAGAAGGAAGGGAAAAGGAAGGAAAGAAGGAGAAGUAGAGGAGGAGGAGGAGAGGUAGGGAAGAAGGAAGGGAAAGGGAAGCAAAGAGAGAAGGGAAAAAAGGAGGGAAGGGAAGGAAUGUUUGAGGAUUAAAAAUGAGAGAGAGAGAGAGAGAG